GACGAACGCUGGCGGCGUGCUUAACACAUGCAAGUCGAGCGAGAGCCUGGAAGCUUGCUUCCAGGGGACAGCGGCGAACGGGUGCGUAACACGUGGGCAACCUGCCCCUCUCUCUGGGAUAACCCCGGGAAACCGGAGCUAAUACCGGAUACUCCGUCUGGAUCUCAUGGUCCGGCCGGGAAAGGUCCGCCGGAGAGGGAUGGGCCCGCGGCCUAUCAGCUUGUUGGUGAGGUAACGGCUCACCAAGGCUACGACGGGUAGCUGGUCUGAGAGGACGACCAGCCACACUGGAACUGAGAUACGGUCCAGACUCCUACGGGAGGCAGCAGUGGGGAAUAUUGCGCAAUGGGCGAAAGCCUGACGCAGCGACGCCGCGUGGGGGAU
rnacentral:rRNA from 1 species